CUGAAGUGUUCCUUUAAGUAUCUGCACAGAUCAGUGCUUCCUCAUUAUCAGGUCACUCUGAAUUUAAGAUCACUGUUUGAGCUACUGGUGAGCACCACUGGUUGGUAGAUUGUUAGGUUCUUUGUGGCUGCACUUACUCUUGCUACUAUAGGCUCUAGACCAGGAGUCUUCACCACACUAAAAUACAGCUUUUGGUAAAGUUAGUUUUCCCUACACAAGCCAUUUUGCCAGCACUUGAUUUUUCCCUUUGUUAGGGCCAGAAGACAAUGAAAAUUGUAAUGUGUUCAUCUAGCAUUUGGCUUUGAGUACUAGAGCGUUACACACCACAGCCUUGUUGGUUAAAUAUUACAAUUGCUUUUUUGCUAGCUUUCCUAAUAAAAACAAAG